rnacentral:lncRNA from 1 species
AGGGGGGUUGAACUGGAAUUAGGGUUUGUAUGAGUAGGGUGGUGAGUAUUCUUUAAAACUUAGGGUUUGGUUGUGGUGGCAGGAAAGUAGUGCUGCAGCGGCAUCGCAAUCCGCUUGCGAGCUUGCGGGGGACGUUACAACGAGGCCGCGCCAUUGACCACUGUUUGGACGUACUUGCUAUAUUCGCCAUUCCUGCAGCUGUUGACGACGAAAAUUUGCUCGCUUUUAUCGGUCAAGCGUGAGCAGACAAAAAUAAACAAAUAAAUAAAUAGUAAGAAACACCAGUCAUAUGUUGCAAUUAGGCGCUUGUUCCUCCGGACAGGCAGCCUGCCGCGCACACGGUACACGUGAACAGAUACUCGCACCACCGCAGAGUCUUGCAAUUUCCUUCGCGACCCCCCCUCCUUUUGAGAAGCUCACACAGGCGCGUGAGUGGAUUGGCGACGAGACGAAUCCCUCUGUUCCUACAACAUAAUUCGUCGCAAGCCUGCACUUCCUUCUUUUAUACGUUUUUUUUUUCUUCUUCUUCUUACACUACGCUUCCUCUUCUUCGUUUUUAUUUUAUAUUAUCUUUU